UAUAUAUACAUAUAUAAACACAUAUAUGUGUAGAGGAAUGGUACAAAGUGAUGUCAUAUGGGUAUCACAAGCUAUUUCAUCCAUUACAAGAAUCAUAUUAUUUUUAUUAUUCUUUUAUUACUGAAACUUGCAUACCAUGGGCAAACUACUAGAAACGGGGAGUUGCCAUCACUAGCAAAGGAGACUUCUUAUGGACGGUAAUACCACUCGUCUCACUCAUAUCCAAAUCUUUUUCUUUGACUCCGUUUGGCAAUGCCAAAUUGAACUUGUACACGACAUUUGCUAAUGCAAGCUCGUUGACGACCAUAGCAAAUUGUAUACCAGGGCACCCUCUUCGUCCGGCACCAAAUGGUAGAAGCUCAAAGUGAAACCCUUUAAAAUCAAUCGAGCUGUUCAAGAACCUCUCUGGUCUAAAUUCAUCUGGUUCUUCCCAAAGGGUAGGAUCUCUUGCUAUGGCUGAUGCAUUAAUAAUUACUUGUGUUCGUGAUGGAAUGUUGUACCCCAUUAGUUUGACAUCUUGUGUUGAUUCUCGUGGAAUAAGUAGUGGGAUUGGAGUAUGCAAUCGCAACGUCUCUUUGAUGGUGGCCUUAAGAUAAUGCAUUUUCUCCAAGUCCUUCUCAUGAAUUACUGGUUUUCCUUCGGCUAUUUCUGUGACUUCUUGUUGUAGUUUUUUCAUUACUCUUGGGUGUCUUACUAGUUCACUGAUUGCCCAUUCUAGACUUGUAAAUGUGGUAUCAGUUCCAGCAGCAAAU
rnacentral:lncRNA from 1 species